AGUGGAAUGUAAUAAAUUGAGUGUUUAUGUCACCCAAGUUUCAUAUGUUGGAACCUAACUCCAAGAUGAUGGUAAUAGGAAAUGGAGCCUUUGGGAGAUGAUUAGGUCAUAAAGACAGAGCCUUCAUAAUCAGAAUUAUUGCCUUUAAAGAGAGUCCUCAGAGUGCUCUCUCAUCACUUCCACUGUGUGAAGAGGUAGCAAGAAGGUGGGUUUUCAUGAGACACCAAGUCUACUGCUGUGUUGAUCUUAAACUUCCCAACCUCAAGAAUUGUAAGAAGUAAAUAUCUGUUGCUAACAAGCCACCCAGUUUUUGUUGUUUUGUUAUAGCAACCUAAAUGGAUCAAGAUGUGGAGUGCUGCAGCUUCAUUUUACUUGCAAGCUGGGAGGGACAAAGACCAACAAUUUUCCACCUACAAAGUGCAUCUAAACUGGCAGGCAGCUCAGUGAAAGCUACAGCCUCAAUAAAAAUAGCACUAGAUCGCCACCCUCCUUCCAACUUCAAAAGAAAACUGUUCAAAUUGAGCCAGAAACCAAGGAAAACAGUAAGCCAAGUUAAUCUAUGUUCUCACCCCACCUCCAGCCCCAGACAACCACAGUAUGCCUUCUGCCCCUACAGGUGUUUAUUGGCAGUGUGCUGGAAAGAGUUCGUAUUCACAGACAACAUCACACACCACUGUCACCAGGGAAGCAAGAGCGUGGGCAAGCCAGCCUGGAGCCCCAGAGGCUCCAGAAAGGAAGGUGAUCCCAGGGACCGUGGGGGAACUGUGUGGCGCAGUGCUGUGACCAUCGCCAUGGCAGUCUCCUCGUAA
rnacentral:lncRNA from 13 species